rnacentral:rRNA from 1 species
UAACAGCUCAAAUUUGAAAUCUGGCUCCCUGCGGAGUCCGAGUUGUAAUUUGUAGAAGAUGCUUUGGGUGCACGACCCGGCCUAAGUGCCUUGGAACAGGACGUCGUAGAGGGUGAGAAUCCCGUAUGCGGCCGGCGUCGACGCCCGUGUAAAGCUCUUUCGACGAGUCGAGUUGUUUGGGAAUGCAGCUCAAAAUGGGUGGUAAAUUUCAUCUAAAGCUAAAUAUGGGCCAGAGACCGAUAGCGCACAAGUAGAGUGAUCGAAAGAUGAAAAGCACUUUGGAAAGAGAGUUAAACAGUACGUGAAAUUGUUGAAAGGGAAGCGCUUGCAACCAGACUUGGGCGUCGCUGAUCAUCCAAAGUUCUCUUUGGUGCACUCGACGACGCACAGGCCAGCAUCGGUUGGGGUGGUGGGAGAAAGACUGUAGGAACGUAGCUCUUUUCGGAGAGUGUUAUAGCCUGCGGUGCAAUACUGCCUACCUCGACCGAGGACCGCGCUUCGGCUAGGAUGCUGGCGUAAUGGUUGUAAGCGACCCG